GACGUAGGGCGCGAGCGUUGUCCGGAUUUAUUGGGCGUAAAGAGCGUGUAGGCGGCCCGAUAAGUCCGCCGUGAAAGUCCAGGGCUCAACCCUGGAAUGCCGGUGGAAACUGUCGGGCUGGAGUCCGGAAGAGGCGAGUGGAAUUCCUGGUGUAGCGGUGAAAUGCGCAGAUAUCAGGAGGAACACCAAUGGCGAAGGCAGCUCGCUGGGACGGUACUGACGCUGAGACGCGAAAGCGUGGGGAGCAAACAGG
rnacentral:rRNA from 1 species